GGAAAACUGGUGAAAUUGGUAGCCACACAUCACUGCUAAUGAUGUAUCCGUAAGGGUAUGUAGGUUCAAGUCCUACGUUUUCCG
rnacentral:tRNA from 1 species